GAUGCGCAGACCACUGUAGAAACUCCCGACCCGUCCCCAACCUAACCCGCCUCCUAUCGCCGGAGGCAGCCGUCCCGAGCGAGCGACGGCACCAGCCGGAGCGAGGGAGCCCGCGGCGCCGUGAUGGGUCGCUCCUCCGACCCACGCGCUGCCGCCGGCCGCCCUCCGCCUCCAACCUUCGGCCCCGCGCUGCGCCCCCCCCGCCUCCCACAUCCGGCGACCCGCCGCGCCCCCCGCUCGACUCCCUCCUCGGCGACGGGCCACCGCCCGGCCUCCUCCCCGGCGCGCCACCGCCCGGCUCCCUCCCCGGUGACGCGCCUCCAGACUCCUUUCCCCGCCAAUGUACACUGCGUGACCCAAGCGCCCGGCUGCCUCAGGGCAUGUCCAACGCGGGCGCUUAGGGACGAGCGCCAGGAUUAGAUUCCCGGCCAAUUAGCGGUUAAUCUGUUGAAUCCUGAUGUUAUGCGCUGCAUCGACGCAAGAUGAUGCGCCGGCCGCUUGCCCGUUUUUGUGCAUGCUCUGACCGCUUGACUACUUAAUUUACUCCGUGGAAUUAGCGCCUGCCGUUGUAAGCCUGGGCGCUUAGGCGUUUUUUCUAUUUUACAAUCUUUAUUUUAUUUUUGGUUAGCGCCUCCAUAAGCGGCUCUCAUUGUAGAUGCCCUCAUACGAGGUUGCACGCCGCCGCCGGCCCAACCGUCCCCGUCAGGAUCCCCCGCCUCCCACCGUGGCUCCUCGCCGCCACCAUGGGAUCCCAGCCGGCAGGCUCCCACGAGCGCCCCGUGCCCAGCCGUCUCGCUUCCAUCAUCGGUAAUCGCCCCUCCACCAUGCCUCCUCCCACAACCCCGAUCCAGAUACAGAGACCUCCACCAGGAUGCACGUCGGUCUCACCGUGGUCACAUCAGAAGUCCAACUGGUCGCUCCAUGGCCGGUCGCUCAAAGUGCUGCGUAUAGGCCACCCCGUGCUCUACCCCUAGGCCUGGCUCAACUUUCUCCCUCCCAUCCUAUCUCUCAUCUGCCUACUUGUCCUGCUCUGUUUCCAUCUCCUGAACUAUUUAUCAUGCAUCAACUCUCUCGCUAUGUGGUUUUCUUGCUCCCUCUCUCGUAGCUACAACAUGGUCACAGACUAGCUGAUGGAUCCAAAAAAUGAUUAUGGAUAAUUGUUGUUCUGAUCUCUAGUUUCUAUUAACUGAUGGGUAAGAUUCUCUCUCUGAUGCUCCCUCAUCCUUUGUAGUUUGUGUGAACUGAUAGUUUAGACUCGAUGAAAUCCGUUGUUUGUAGUUUGUGUGUACUGAUAGUUGAGACUAUGAAUUCCAUGCUUUGUAGUUUGUAUGAACUGAUAGUUAAGACUCGAUGAGCUCCAUGCUUUGUAGUUUGUGUGAACUGAUAGUUGAGACCUCGAAGAGUUGUCCAUCUCGACUUGGUGAACUCAUAGAUGAUAGUUUUGUGAAGUGAAAAUUCUUUUUCAAGUUCUUGUGGUAUUUAAUACUUUGUGAGCUGAUAGCUGAUACUUUGAGAUGGACGUAUAAUCAGGCAUGAAAAUAAUGUCAAAUACGUGCAGUUUAAUGGAUGAGUGUUAUCUAGAUCCUUUUAAUCUGAAGGUAGUUGCACCACUAAGGAAAUUAAAAAAACAAUAUUUUCUAUUGACAAGAAAUGGAAAUUUGGCUUAGUAAUCGUCCAUUACUAGAGGUAUUGUCACUUGACCGUUUUCCAGAACUAGUUUCAGUUCUUGGACUACCGGCACUUCCAAAAUCAAAGACGCCAUAUCAAAGUGCUCAAAGUUGAAGCAAAGGAGAUGAGAUGCUAAAAAAAGGUACACAUGCUAACAGAAGUUUUACCUUCCAGCCUUUACUCCGCUCUUGUCUGAAGUUUCUGAAAGCAAAUCAUUAACUUGAAACUCCCCACCUCUUCAACGGGUCUAGCUAUAGCUGCAGGCAGUAGAGGAUAAAAAAUGCAUGGAUUAAUUGGAACUAAUCACACAUAGGCUAUGGGCUACGGAUCACAUACACAUAUUAGAAAAAUGUGCUAUAGAUUAGAUUGAUUGAUACCUCCUAGUGUAGUAUUUCUGUAAGUGUAUUUGGUCUGCACUUAUAGGAUUUAGGGAAGUACUACAAAAAUGUCUUGCAUAAAUUAUGUGCUAAAUUUGAUGCUCUAUAAUUGCUUGUCAAAAUGCCCCUACGAGAACCAAAAUAUUUGGAUAAAAUUUGAUGUUGUUGUUCCUAUAUUCUAGAUGAAUUUCAAUCAUACUAUUUUGCUACAACAGGCAUGUACUUGCUCUGUUUGCAAAAUAGUUCUCUUGCAGUUUUCUGUGUUGUAAUUUUCCUCUGUCAAUCCAACAAAAGCAGCAGUUCUCUUCGCAGUACACAGCACAAAUUGGUGUCAAGUCAGCGGAAAAAUAAUAAUUGCAUCAGUUCAGAUUCGAGAUGGUGUAAGUGCAGAAGAAAAAAUGGUAGCAGUAAAGGUUCAAGAUUGAAAAAGUUGUAAGUUCAACGCGACGUCCCAGAUAAGUUCGUGAAAAUAUAAAAAAAUGAAACCCCAAUAGGAAUUCGAAUGGUAAAAGUUCAAGUCACAAAUUCCUACUUGGCCUGGAUAGCUCAUAUACACUUUAAUCUUGUAAUUUAAAAGUUCAAGUGACAACUUUGGAGAUGAUUGUUUGCAAGUAGUUUACUUUGAUGAUUCUGUAAUUGCAUCAGGCCAUUACAAAAAAUUGCUCUGGAAGUUCAAUAUUUAUUUCAAUUCAUGAAAUAAAUACAGUGCCCCGCCCCGCCCCUGCUGCUUGCUAGCUGUCGGUGGUGUGUGCGCGCUGGUCGCUACUGCUGUUUGUUGCUGCUGCAGGGUAAGAUAAUACAGAGAUUAAAUACAACUUUGCUACACGGGCCAGCCCCUAGCACUCCGGUUGAUGAAGAUGCUGAUUUGACAAAAGGAUCAGUGAAGCACUGGGCGAUCGAGACACUUUCUUCAUCAGAUGGUGUACUGCACGACAUACUUCCGUUAGUUGAAGAUGAUACAUGGAGUAGUGACCUAAAUAAGUUGAAGAAAAAUUCUGCAAGUUUGGUGCAUGUGCUGCUCCAAAUCUAUUGUGUGUCUGCGAGUAGCUAUUGUAUGUCUUCUGAAUCAUGAUGUAUGCUAUUCUUUGGUACAUGUCUUAAGUGUGCGUACGGAAGGCCGAGAAGUUCUAUUGCUGGUAUACGCCAAGUUCAGAGGCGUUUCCGCCAACGACGCUGAAGCAGCGGUCAAAAUUAAACUCGGUUCAGUUUGUGCGUAUUCUUUUUUUUAUACAUCAAGUUGUGAAUAUGAGUUAA